rnacentral:lncRNA from 1 species
UGGGUCGACUGAGGCAAUCGUGAUAAAGUGCCUUGCCCAAGGACACACCACAAUGGGAGUAGCCAGAGUUUGAACCAAGGUAGAAAAGCGUCUUAGUCAUCUCGACCACUGCGUCCAGAGAGGUGUCUUUGUCUAUGUUAUGGGAAUCAUGGGGUUCUCCCCUGGAAAUUUUUUGAAAUACAGGUAUGAAAUGGUGGCCUCUCGUGCAUCUACUGGUGGCUGUACACCCUCAUUUUAGUGGGUAGGACGGGGUCAGGGGCUCUCCUCUUGAAUUUUUUUAAAUAAAGGCAUGAAAUUGUGGCCUCUGGUGCAUUUUGAGGCCUAAAUUUUGAGGCGAUGGAGGGGUUACUCCCUUCUUGAUUGGGAGGUCAGUUUUGAAAUACACGUAUGAAAUGGUGGCCUCUAGUGCGUUUCUGGGUCUUAAUUUUGAGAAGAAAAAAAUCCUUUGCCACAUCUUUGAUGAGUAUAGAUUCUACUUCUCAGCCAACUGUGGAGUGGGAUGGCGGUUGGGGCAUGAACGGUCAAAAGCUAUACAGUACAUAGCUUAUGUUUAUAAUGUUACUUUAUCUACCGACAAUAAAUAAAUAUUGACUUGAACCCCCUCGGUUCGGCCCUGGACCCGGACCUGAUUUUACAGCCUGCCAAAGAACGUGAUUUUUAUGGAGUUAUCAACGAUAACAUACUGAUUUAUUUUCGGUAGUGCACAGUUACUUCCCUUUGACCAAAUACGCCAUUUGCACCGGCUGUUCUGGAAGAAAAGAACAUUGAUUUUCGUGCAGAUGUUUUUGUACCAGUAUGCAAGUAUUUGCUCCUUUAAGGUGUGGUAACUUAUUUGCAGGUCGCUGAACUUCAUCAUGUCACAUGCCAGAAUAUACAAACGUAAGGGAGUGAUCAGUCAUAAUAGAAUUUGAACGUACAGUGAAUGUAGCAACAUGGACAGUUUGAUAUACUGUAGUGGACGGAUCAGCAGGGGAGGUAACUAGAGUCCAGAUUUGGACUAGGGCGUAACUUGCCAACAACAAAAAAAAGAGAGAAAAUUUUAGUGUGAUGUAAAAGUAAAGCAGAGUGACUAGUGACCAGUAACUUCAGAAUUGAAGAGAUGCAGGUCUUUGUUGUACAUGGUGAAAGAGGGAAUUAUAGUGGAUAUUUGGAUUGAUCAGUGAAACCUGUGAAGUGUUAGUGAAGCAGAAUAAUUACAGAUCAUAAGAGAUGCAGGUCUUUGUUCAGCAUGGUGUAUAUGGAAAACAUAGUGGAUGGCCAGCAUAAAAAACAUUUAACGAUGUGAAGCAACAAUCAAGCAGAAUGGUUACAGACCAUUAAUUCAGAACUGACGAGAUGCAGGUAUUUGUUCUACAUGCUGUAUGAGGGAACUAUUGUGGAAUUUUGGAUUUCAUGGCAGUCAUAGAAAUAUUUAAUAAAUAACCAGAUAAUUUAUAUUAAGAAUCAUUUACAACUUACAAGCUGCAUUUAGAGUUACAGAAUAGCUGAACAGAUACUAUUAGUUAAAAACAAACAAACUGAUCUUUCAUUCAUAAAACAAAUUAUACAGUUCAAGGGAGCCAACUCAAAUUUUAAAAAACAACACUAAAAUGCCAUUGCUUUCACAGAAAUUGUCACCUUUCAGAAUGUAAUCAGUUUUACAGUUUUGGAUCGAGUAUGAACUACAUUGGCAUUUUAGAAUAGAUAGAUGCUUCAAUAAUUACUAUAAAAUUUUAUGCAACAUUGUAUUUUCAUAACCAAUUAACUGUACCAGUCUAUCAGGCUAUCCCAUUCUAUCCAGUCAACAAAUUGGCAAUGGCUACAUGGAUUCUCAAGUAACUUGGCAUUACUUAUCACAG